AUUGUGAUCACUUCCCUAGGAGGCCAACUAGAGAGUCAUAAUCAGAUCCAUAGUAAAAUUUUGUUUGUUUAAUUUUUACAAUGAUUUUGAAAGUAGACAUUUCUGAUUUUGAUUGAGUAAAAUUAUUCUUGGAUUGUCACUUAAAUUUCAACUCUUAGUGAGUACGUGUCUGUUUUAGCUAUAGUUUCAUUCGAUUGACUUUCUGGUCACAAGAUGAUUAAGAUUUUUCUUCGUCAUUAAAGUUCAUAA
rnacentral:misc_RNA from 1 species